rnacentral:rRNA from 1 species
AUUGAACGCUGGCGGCAUGCCUUACACAUGCAAGUCGAACGGCAGCACGGGAGCAAUCCUGGUGGCGAGUGGCGAACGGGUGAGUAAUAUAUCGGAACGUGCCCAGUAGUGGGGGGAUAGCCCGGCGAAAGCCGGAUUAAUACCGCAUACGACCUGUGGGUGAAAGCGGGGGAUCGCAAGACCUCGCGCUAUUGGAGCGGCCGAUAUCAGAUUAGCUUGUUGGUGGGGUAAAAGCCCACCAAGGCGACGAUCUGUAGCUGGUCUGAGAGGACGACCAGCCACACUGGGACUGAGACACGGCCCAGACUCCUACGGGAGGCAGCAGUGGGGAAUUUUGGGACAAUGGGCGCAAGCCUGAUCCAGCCAUGCCGCGUGU